UCAGCUGGUCAAAGGGAAAAGUCACAUUGGGGGAUGCCGCUUUCCACUGUGUCUUUUGUUCCCCCCUCUGGCAAUCGGAAGAGAAAGGGGAUGGGAUGGCAAGGCGGGCACUAUGUGUUUUGGUCUCCAAAAAUGAAUCGAUAAAGAAGUGGUCCAUUCCAAAAGGCACGAUCGCAUUUGGCACACCCCCUUGAAUAUUGUGGCCAAUGGCUGCUGCCCUGCAGACAUUCUGAUGCCUUGCCUACAGUCUGGUGACAUGAGUGCUAUGGAGCUUGCUGGGAGACGGCCUCAACAGACCAGGAAGAGGGAGAAGCUCCCCCGCUCUGAAACCUGAAGUUGCCCGGCUACGGUUGGACAAACAUCUGGAAUGCGAUUCACAGUUACAAAAAGUAACCUCAGUUUCGUCUACCCGCAGUUUGCUGGAUGAAAAAGUAAAAAGUACCACAUAAAAUGUAUUUUGGUGGCUAAAGGAAAACAGAUGGAAAAGAAUUUCGUCACUUCUGGUUUUAUAGUUCACCCAGUCAUGUUUAUUUCUCCAUGUGGGCUGCCCAGAGUUGCUAUUGUACAGAUAAACAUGACAUGAAUUGAUGGUC